rnacentral:rRNA from 1 species
UACGUAGGGUGCGAGCGUUGUUCGGAAUUACUGGGCGUAAAGCGCGCGUAGGCGGCUAUUCAAGUCAGAGGUGAAAGCCCGGGGCUCAACCCCCGGAACUGCCUUUGAAACUAGGUAGCUAGAAUCUUGGAGAGGUCAGUGGAAUUCCGAGUGUAGAGGUGAAAUUCGUAGAUAUUCGGAAGAACACCAGUGGCGAAGGCGACUGACUGGACAAGUAUUGACGCUGAGGUGCGAAAGCGUGGGGAGCAAACAGG